CAGCCGCCGCGGGAAUACGUAGGUGGCAAGCGUUGUCCGGAAUUAUUGGGCGUAAAGGGCUCGCAGGCGGUUUCUUAAGUCUGAUGUGAAAGCCCCCGGCUCAGCCGGGGAGGGUCAUUGGAAACUGGGAAACUUGAGUGCAGAAGAGGAGAGUGGAAUUCCACGUGUAGCGGUGAAAUGCGUAGAGAUGUGGAGGAACACCAGUGGCGAAGGCGACUCUCUGGUCUGUAACUGACGCUGAGGAGCGAAAGCGUGGGGAGCGAACAGGAUUAGAUACCCCAGUAGUCCCUGUCUCUUAUAC
rnacentral:rRNA from 1 species